CAGUAAAGUGCACAGAAGAUACUAGAUCUGACAUGAUCUAAUGUCAGCCUGCUGAAGACUGUAAGGAAAGCUCUGCCACAUCUUCCAGAUGAUCUACCUAACCUGGUAACCACAUCACUUUUGAGAAGCUAUAGAAACACUGUGGAACUUUAAAUCUCUGGCGUUGACUGAUUACUUCUGGUCAUUCAGUGUUUAGGCGCCUAUUCAUGUAGCAUUUUAUGCUUCUCCUCCAGAGCCUGCCUCCCUAUGAGUCAGACUGAGGCAGCUGCCUCAGGUGGCAGAAUCUCAUGGCAUGGCACCCACUCUCCCCUGCUGCUACCACUGGAGAAGCGAGAAGGCAAGUUUCUGAGAUUUAAGAGGAACAAUUUUGCUCCUGCAAUACAACGUUUUCAUAGGAUUGGAUUGAGGGAAACAGCUAAGUGCAUGGGCAACAUAAUUCUGCAUUAUAACAUUCAAUCAGACAAGGGAGGAAAAAGAGAUUUUGAGCAUGGAUCUGUGGAAUCCCCUCACAGUCCUAAGAAACAAAUGCAGACAUUCUGUUAUAAACCAUGGAUUGCCAAUUGUAGGGCUGGAGCUUCAAAAGA